rnacentral:lncRNA from 1 species
CUAAUUGGUCAUAUAAACUAGUUUGGAAUGUUAGCUGAACACUAGAAUCAAUGCAUCUCAAUUUGACUAGUUUUGAAAGUCACCAAUCAGAAAAAAAUACAAAAUCUGCUAUUCAUUGUGGCAUUUCAUCAAACAGUUUGAAAUUUGCAUCAAACACUUUCAUGGCACACAGUUUUCUCACUGUAUUGAGUCUUUUCUUGCUUGUUUAAUCUAUUCUAGACCCUCUCCUAGGAUACUUUUGCGUACCACCUCUGUUUCCAGCUCCAUAAUUCAUUAGAAAUCACUUUAUUUGUUAUUCUACU